AGUGAACGCUGGCGGUAGGCCUAACACAUGCAAGUCGAACGGCAGCACAGUAAGAGCUUGCUCUUACGGGUGGCGAGUGGCGGACGGGUGAGGAAUACAUCGGAAUCUACUUUUUCGUGGGGGAUAACGUAGGGAAACUUACGCUAAUACCGCAUACGACCUACGGGUGAAAGCAGGGGAUCUUCGGACCUUGCGCGAUUGAAUGAGCCGAUGUCGGAUUAGCUAGUUGGCGGGGUAAAGGCCCACCAAGGCGACGAUCCGUAGCUGGUCUGAGAGGAUGAUCACCCACACUGGAACUGAGACACGGUCCAGACUCCUACGGGAGGCAGCAGUGGGGAAUAUUGGACAAUGGGCGCAAGCCUGAUCCAGCCAUACCGCGUGGGUGAAGAAGGCCUUCGGGUUUUAAAGCCCUUUUGUUGGGAAAGAAAAGCAGCAGGUUAAUACCCCGCUGUUCUGACGGUACCCAAAGAACAAGCACCGGCUAACUUCGUG
rnacentral:rRNA from 1 species